GGCGUGUCCAGUCCUCCUCCGCUUGGCUUCAACCGUUGUUGUAUUCUCUUGCUUGGUUUCCUUCUCCGACGCCAAUGAGCUCUUCUCCACUCUCCAGAAGAGCCUCUUCGUCACUGCCUCCCCUGCUUCCGGCCAAGGUAUAAAAUUUCCAACUCAGAAAUCAUCAAUCGGAAAUUUGAUUGAAACCCAAAGCUCAACAUCAAAUUUAAUGAAAUGGGUUACGCUGGAAUUUGAUUUCCUACCCUAAAGACACGACCUUUUUGUUGGAGGAAUUUUGUAAAAUUUGCAUCGGAAAUGCCAGAUUGGUAACCCUAGUCGUUUAAAAAUAAUAAGAAUUUGCGUUGAAAUCUUUUGGUUUUCUUCCAAUUGGGCAGUUUUGAAGGGAGGAGAGGACAAGAUCAAGGUGACGUGGGGAUUCAACAAGACCUCGCUGGCGGCGGCGGCUGACGGCGACAGCAAGUUCAAGAACAUCAAAGUAAAGCUCUGCUACGCGCCGGUGAGCCAGAAGGACAGGCCGUGGAGGAAGACAGAGGACCACUUAAACAAGGAC
rnacentral:lncRNA from 1 species